rnacentral:lncRNA from 1 species
CGGAGGGGAGAAAUGGCCGGAGCUGGAGAGCCAGGCUCUGCCAGGCGCUUGCUGUGGGGCUUUGAGUUUGUGAAAAACAUGCCUGUGCCUCAGUCUCCCCUUGGGCAAGAUGAGGAUAUUCAUUGUGAGUGUGGGUCUGUUCCUCUCUCCUGACAGGGCUACGCUGAAUGGAAACAGUGAGCGGCUGCAGAAGGCUAAGUAAGGGUGGUAAAGAUGCCAGCACGAUGCUUACGAAAGGUUUUGCCUCUCCAAACCCACUCAGCCUUCAUCAAAAGGUCACGACGUAAGCACAAUUCUUAAGAUCUCCAUUCGUCCAGUGGAGCAAUGGAGGCACAGAGUGGGUGAGUAACUUGGCCAAGGUUGCACAGCCAGAAUACGGGAGAUUGAACUCUGCACCUGGACAGCUUGGUCCCAGCCACUGUGCAGGAAUCAUCUCAAAGGUGCUGGCUUUUGCCGGAAAUGCAGUCUCGGGUUACACAACCAAAAGUGGCCCAAGAGUUUUACAUUUUACCUUGAACUGGCGAGUAAUAGUUGCAUAUAUUUGAGGGGUACCUUGUCAGAUCUUGAUAUGUGUUUAUAUGGUGGCAUGACUGCGUCUCAGGUUGACAGCACCUCCGUCCCCUCGCAUGCUGCUCCUUUGUCUGAUUGCAUUGCAUUUCAGAUCUGGAUCUGUUGCCUUUGUUAAUGAAGAAGCUCACAUUUCUGCAUUACAGCACAGGUUUGCCGUGUGCCUCAGCCUGCUCAGGACGGGCCGUCAUCUCUACAUGGCAAAAGCCAGCCGGAGUUGUGCCGCCCCGCCUCUGCCGGUCUGCAGCACCCCCCGGGGUCAUCGUCCUGUACUUCGGCAAUUCUAGAGAAACCAGUGCCACCAAAUCGGAGGUGAGGAAGUCUGCGUUGCAUUUUGCACAGAGCUAGCACUGAAGGUCCGGAGGUGAGGAUCAGACCUUAGUCUUGCUGUGAGUGUAGCAGAAGCCACAGAGCCCCUGGACACCCCAACAGGCCGUCCUUCCCUAGUGGGACCAAGAAGAAGGUGAGAUCCGAGGAGGUUGCGGGUACGGAGGAAGACACCUCACAGGCUGCACAAUUUGGACUACAGCGGCUCAGAGUAGGCGGGAGAAGCUUGUCAGCGGGGCAUGGAAGUGUUCCGGGAUCCAGAAGUCAGGCACAUUCUCAGUUUUAGUCCAUUUUUCACCACUAUACCAAAAGACCCAAGGCUGGGAGGCUGUAUAAGGAAAAGAGGGUCAUUCAGCUCAACCUUCUAAAGGCUCAACGGCCUCCAUCUGGUGGCAGCUUUUUUGUUGGCAGGGCCCCGAGAUGGCAAAGGGCACCCCUGACAAGAGACCAGAAGUGCACUGUGUCUCUUCAGGUCUUGAUCGAUUUUUACAAAGCUACCAGGGUUCAAUCACAGUGGCUCCAAACUGCUUCCCUUGCCUAACCCUAAUGGCUACCCAAAGUCCUCACCUCUCAACCCCUUUGAGGGCCUCAGAGAUGGGAUUAAAUAUCAGCAUGUGAAGUCGCGGGGGAGGCGCUCACACCACAUCCUGGCCACAAACAGCCAAGGAUGUGUGCCAGGCAGAGACAGGGUGGCUGGCCAGGGAGUCGGGAGUUGUCCUCGGGCUUCAGGAGCAGACGAUGCACCAGAGGGCACAAGUCUCACUAGUAAAUCGGAGCACGGGUGGCAUACUUAGUGCCCACAUCUGACUUGUUAUCUAUAAACAGGGGAAUCUCAAUGAAGAUAAAAACGGGAGCCCUGACACCAGAAAGUCACAGCCAGCAUAAAAAGUUGAGUAAAGAUCCCAGCUUCUCGUCCCAGACACUGGACAUUCCGGGC